rnacentral:rRNA from 1 species
UCCGUAGGCGGGUUUAUAAGUCAGUGGUGAAAGUUUGCGGCUCAACCGUAAAAUUGCCAUUGAUACUGUAGACCUUGAAUUAGUGUGAAGUGGUUAGAAUGUGUAGUGUAGCGGUGAAAUGCAUAGAUAUUACACAGAAUACCAAUUGCGAAGGCAGAUCACUAACACUAUAUUGACGCUGAGGGACGAAAGUGUGGGGAGCGAACAGGAUUAGAUACCCUGGUAGUCC